rnacentral:rRNA from 1 species
UACAGAGGUCUCAAGCGUUGUUCGGAUUCAUUGGGCGUAAAGGGUGCGUAGGUGGCCUGGUAAGUCGGAUGUGAAAUCCCGGGGCUCAACCCCGGAACUGCAUUCGAUACUGCUGCGCUAGAGUACUGGAGAGGAGAUUGGAAUUUACGGUGUAGCGGUGAAAUGCGUAGAUAUCGUAAGGAAGACCAGUGGCGAAGGCGGGUCUCUGGACAGUUCCUGACGCUGAGGCACGAAGGUCAGGGGAGCAAACGGG